rnacentral:rRNA from 1 species
UACAGGGGGGGCGAGCGUUGUUCGGAAUUAUUGGGCGUAAAGAGCUCGUAGGCGGUCUGUCGCGUCGGCUGUGAAAACUCGGGGCUCAACUCCGAGCCUGCAGUCGAUACGGGCAGACUAGAGUGCUGUAGGGGAGACUGGAAUUCCUGGUGUAGCGGUGAAAUGCGCAGAUAUCAGGAGGAACACCGGUGGCGAAGGCGGGUCUCUGGGCAGUAACUGACGCUGAGGAGCGAAAGCGUGGGGAGCGAACAGG